CCUACGGGGGGCAGCAGUGGGGGAUAUUGCACAAUGGGGGCAACCCUGAUGCAGCGACGCCGCGUGGGUGAAGAAGCGCCUCGGCGCGUAAAGCCCUGUCAGCAGGGAAGAAAAUGACGGUACCUGAAGAAGAAGCCCCGGCGAACUACGUGCCAGCAUCCGCUGGAAUACUUAGGGGGCAAGCGUUGACCGGAUUUACUGGGGUUAAAGGGGGCGCAGUCGGCGAUGCAAGCCAGGAGGGAAAGCGCGGGGCCCAACCACGGGGCUGCGUUUGGAACUGCGUGGCUAGAGUGAAGGAGGGGCAGGCGGAAUUCCUGGUGUAGCGGUGAAAUGCGUAGAUAUCAGGAGGAACACCGGUGGCGAAGGCGGCCUGCUGGACUGCAACUGACGUUGAGGCACGAAAGCGUGGGGAGCAAACAGGAUUAGAUACCCGAGUAGUC
rnacentral:rRNA from 1 species